rnacentral:misc_RNA from 1 species
GAUGAAGAACGUAGCAAAAUGCGAUAAGUAAUGUGAAUUGCAGAAUUCAGUGAAUCAUCGAAUCUUUGAACGCACAUUGCGCCCGCCUGUAUUCUGGCGGGCAUGCCUGUUCGAGCGUCAUUUCAACCCUCAAGCACAGCUUGGUGUUGGGACUCGCGUUAAUUCGCGUUCCCCAAAUUGAUUGGCGGUCACGUCGAGCUUCCAUAGCGUAGUAGUAAAACCCUCGUUACUGGUAAUCGUCGCGGCCACGCCGUUAAACCCCAACUUCUGAAUGUUGACCUCGGAUCAGGUAGGAAUACCCGCUGAACUUAAGCAUAUCAAUAAGCGGAGGA